ensembl:miRNA microRNA 7-3
GGUCUAGUGCUGUGUGGAAGACUAGUGAUUUUGUUGUUUUGACGUACUAUGACAACAAAUCACGGCUUCCUCACAGCGUAGGCU